rnacentral:rRNA from 1 species
CUACGGGUGGCUGCAGUGGGGAAUAUUGGACAAUGGGCGCAAGCCUGAUCCAGCAAUGCCGCGUGUGUGAAGAAGGCCUGCGGGUUGUAAAGCACUUUAAGCAGGAAAGAAGGGGUGAAAGUUAAUACCUUUCAUCAUUGACGUUACCUGCAGAAUAAGCACCGGCUAACUCCGUGCCAGCAGCCGCGGUAAUACGGAGGGUGCGAGCGUUAAUCGGAAUUACGGGGCGUAAGUUUCGCGUGGGCGGCGUGAAAGCCCUGGGCUUAACCUGGGAACUGCGGGGGAUACUGUCGGGCUAGAGUGUGGUAGAGGGGAGUGGAAUUUCCGGUGUAGCAGUGAAAUGCGUAGAGAUCGGAAGGAACACCAGUGGCGAAGGCGGCUCCCUGGACUAACACUGACGCUGAGGUGCGAAAGCGUGGGGAGCAAACAGGAUUAGAUACCCGAGUAGUC